rnacentral:rRNA from 1 species
UACGUAGGGUGCGAGCGUUGCCCGGAUUUAUUGGGUUUAAAGGGUGCGUAGGCGGUCUAUUAAGUCAGCGGUGAAAUACUCCAGCUUAACUGGAGGGGUGCCAUUGAUACUGAUGGACUUGAGUCAAGUCGAGGUAGGCGGAAUUGACGGUGUAGCGGUGAAAUGCUUAGAUAUCGUCAAGAACACCAAUAGUGAAGACAGCUUACUGGGCUUAAACUGACGCUGAGGCACGAAAGUGUGGGGAUCAAACAGG